CCUUCGAUAGCUCAGCGGUAGAGCGCGGGAACGAAUUAAUAAAAGCUGAUAUCGUGUGUUUCGUCCCGAGGACGCUGGUUCGAUACCAGCUCGAUGGA